GGUAUCGAAAGCACUGUGCUUCAAAUUCCAAUUUCACUUUUGCUAUUCAAGUAAAGAGCUUCAAUGGAAAUGGCCCCGAUUGAUGAUCCAACAAACGCUUAAAGGUGAAAAGAAGCAAACAAUUCAUGGCUAUGCCGAUGAAGCUUCGGUUGUUAUGAUCGACUAGUGGAGGAGGACAUACUACUGUUCAGGAUUGCCGAA
rnacentral:misc_RNA from 1 species